rnacentral:rRNA from 1 species
UACGGAAGGCAGCAGUGGGGAAUAUUGCACAAUGGGCGAAAGCCUGAUGCAGCUAUGCCGCGUGUAUGAAGAAGGCCUUAGGGUUGUAAAGUACUUUCAUCGGGGAGGAAAAAGACAAAACUAAUAAUUUUAUUUCUUGACGUUACCCGAAAAAGAAGCACCGGCUAACUCCGUGCCAGCAGCCGCGGUAAUACGGAGGGUGCUAGCGUUAAUCAGAAUUACUGGGCGUAAAGAGCACGUAGGUGGUUUUUUUAAGUCAGAUGUGAAAUCCCUGGGCUUAACCUAGGAACUGCAUUUUGAAACUGAAAUACUAGAGUAUCGUAGAGGGAGGUAGAAUUCUAGGUGUAGCGGUGAAAUGCGUAGAUAUCUGGAGGAAUACCUGUGGCGAAAGCGGCCUCCUAAACGAAUACUGACACUGAGGUGCGAAAGCGUGGGGAGCAAACAGGGAUUAGAUACC